AAAUUGAAGAGUUUGAUCAUGGCUCAGAUUGAACGCUGGCGGCAGGCCUAACACAUGCAAGUCGAACGGUAACAGGAAGCAGCUUGCUGCUUUGCUGACGAGUGGCGGACGGGUGAGUAAUGUCUGGGAAACUGCCUGGUGGAGGGGGAUAACUACUGGAAACGGUAGCUAAUACCGCAUAACGUCGCAAGACCAAAGAGGGGGACCUUCGGG
rnacentral:rRNA from 1 species